rnacentral:rRNA from 1 species
GGGGGGAAACCUGAAGCAGCCCUGCCGCGUGAGUGAAGAGGCCUUCGGGUUUGAAAACUGUUUUGGCAGGGAAGAAAU